rnacentral:rRNA from 1 species
CUAGUCUCAUCGGUGGAUCACUCGGCUCGU